rnacentral:rRNA from 1 species
GCCCGAGUUCCCUGGAACGGGACGCCACAGAGGGUGAGAGCCCCGUCUGGCUGGCCACCGAGCCUCUGUAAAGCUCCUUCGACGAGUCGAGUAGUUUGGGAAUGCUGCUCAAAAUGGGAGGUAUAUGUCUUCUAAAGCUAAAUAUUGGCCAGAGACCGAUAGCGCACAAGUAGAGUGAUCGAAAGAUGAAAAGCACCUUGAAAAGAGGGUUAAACAGUACGUGAAAUUGUUGAAAGGGAAGCGCUUGUGACCAGACUUGGGCGCGGCGGAUCAUCCGGGGUUCUCUCCGGUGCACUUCGCCGCGUUCAGGCCAGCAUCAGUUCGUCGCGGGGGAAAAAGGCUUCGGGAACGUGGCUCCUCCGGGAGUGUUAUAGCCCGUUGCAUAAUACCCUGCGGUGGACUGAGGACCGCGCAUCUGCNAGGAUGCUGGCGUAAUGGUCACCAGCGACCCGUCUUG